rnacentral:tRNA from 1 species
GGGGUUUUAGCUCAUACGGUAGAGCAUGGGCUUUGCAAGUCUGGGGCGGCUGGUUCGAGUCCAGUAAACUCCA